ensembl:snRNA U6 U6 spliceosomal RNA
UUGCUUCAGCAGCACAUAUACUAAAAACUGGAAUAAUAUAGAAGAUAUUAGCAUGGCCUCUGCGCAAGUAUUACACGCAAAUUUGUGAAGGAUUCCGUAUUUAA